UGAAUCACUGCAGAUGAAAAUGGCUGUAAUUGCAAAGGAAAUGUAAAUGAAGGACUAUAAUCACUCAAAGUUGAAAUCUUCAGCCAGUUACAGAAAUAGCAAAAAUUAUGGAAACUAAAGUGAACACACCUUGUAGCCAAAGGGAAGAAUUCAGUCAUCUAAGAGUCAGCUGCAACACCAUAACCUGCCUCCUUGGAAGGACAGUCUAUGAAGAGAAUCUCUGGUUCCUCCCUAGACAAGU
rnacentral:lncRNA from 1 species